rnacentral:rRNA from 1 species
UCAGUUCGGAUUGUAGGCUGAAACUACGCCUACAUGAAGCUGGAGUUGCUAGUAAUCGCGAAUCAGCAUGUCGCGGUGAAUACGUUCCCGGGCCUUGUACACACCGCCCGUCACACCAUGAGAGUUGGCAAUACCCAACGUACGUGAUCUAACCCGCAAGGGAGGAAGCGUCCUAAGGUAGGGUCAGCGAUUGGGGUGAAGUCGUAACAAGGUAUC